CAUGGUUCCUAGUUUAGGGAGGAUUCUUAGGAACUGGACAUUAUGAACUGACACAUGAUUUCAAAACACAUUAUUUACACAUUCACUGUGCAGCAGAUAUUGAGUAGUACACUGACUAAUCACAUAUUUCUCUACAGUUGUACCUGCACAUAUGUUUUAGUAGAAAAGGCCCAGUAACCAUAUUUCACCAUAUGUUCCCAUCAGUAAAACACUGUAACACUGCGCAGUCAAUUAGAGCACAAAGGAGAUGGAGUUUGGCAUUAGACUAGAGUCAUGGUUUUUUAAAGAAAGCUGCACUAAUGGUAUGUGAAGAGUAGCGUGUAACCUUGUUAUAUAAUCACUUUUAUCUGCGGUCACAGUCCAUCUUUCAGCUGACAAUGCUCAAGGACCUAGGCUGAUAUGUGAUUUAAAGGUCCCAUAUUGUAAAAAGUGAGAUUUCCAUGCUUCUUUUUUUUAAAUUAUAAAGCAGGUCGAGGUGUUAUAUAAAUACUGUGAAAGUAUCGUAUUCAUAAACUGUGCCUUCAAACGAGCUGUCAGAACUUCCGUAAGGUUAUCAUGUCAUAACUAUAUGAUAUAUAGGGGAAAGUGCCACUACAGUGCCGUUACAGUCAUUCCCCGGCUGCAAUGAUAGUGCAGAAACUGAGGCUGAGUUCCAAAUCGCAUACUUUUUCUUUUUAAUUUUAGUAUGUACUGCAUCUGCCCUCUCUAAGUAUGUACGGUUGCAUGCAGUAUGCAUACAACUGGGACAUACUACUUCUUCAAAACAAUGCACCUUGAACUUUGACCCUUUUGCUCAUAAAAGCUGCGGAAAGGAUUGUGGGUCAGAAUAGCCAGAAAAGCAUGCUGGCUUGCAUAGUGCAAGAUCUGAACGGAUGCAGUAGGACAUCCUUGUAUAUUUGGCAUACUGCAUUUGACAUACUAUGUAUUGGGACAUACUAUUUUUCUGGCAUACUAAAUAGUAUGGUAGUAUGGCUAUUGGAACACAGAGUUACUUUGCAUCUCCA